GUCCCAUUGGAAAAACUGGGUUAUCAUCGAAAAGGAAGUUUAAAAUAUAGAUAUAAAUGCAUGUCCUUUACACUCUGAGUCCACAAAUUCGGUUUCCAGCAAUGACAAAGGCAUUAGUGUUUGGUGGUUUUAUUUUGCUAUGUGCCUGGAUCAAAGGGACGUUUAGUCUGACAGGACAUGUAUGCACGCGCUCCACAUACUACCAGUACCGGAGUAAGACAAGUUCAGGUUUAUGGGGAUGGGGCAGAACGACGGUAUACAAACUGAGAACGAUUUAUGUGCAGGAGUGCUGUUUUGGGUGGGGGGAAAACGGACGUGGAGAAUGUGCAAUACGUACGUUUAAUGCUACUGUCAACAUGUUUCAUCAGCAAUAGUUAAGAUGGGUUUCAUCAACAUAUUAAAAGCAUGCAUGCGUAAUAUUGAAUCAGUGUCGGCGCAGCAUUAAGUUUUGCAAAAGAUUUCAAAAGAAAAAACUCUACUUAAGUGUUUCAUAAGUAUUUUAUAAUUGGCCUCAUCAACAUAAAAUAUUAAAGGUCUUUUGUAUAA